GUGCCCUCCACAGUUUGUUUAUCCACUCUCCUUUUGAAGGACAUCUUGGCUGCUUCCAGUCUUUGGCAAUUACAAAUAUAGCGUUUUGUGUGUGAGUUUUUGUGUGAACAUAAGUUUUCAACUCAUUUGGUAAAAUACUAGGAGCAUGAUUGCUGGAUCAGAUGGGAAGACUCUGUUUAGCUUUGUAAAAAAACUGCCAAACUGUCUUCUUCCAAAGCGGCUGCACCGUUUGCAUUCCCACAAGCAAUGAGAGUUCCUGUUGCUCCACAUCCAUAUCGAUAUCAAUAUUUUGGACUUGAGCCAUUCUAAUAGGACAAUUAAACUCAAAUGGACAAAAUGACAACAACACAAACAACAAGGGAACACAUUACCAGUGAACAGCAAAGAUGUAUGUGACUAAGAGUGCUGAGGAACAACUAAUGCCUAAUAUCAGCGGAGGUUAGGUUUUGCCAUGAAACUUACAAAAAAAAGGUUUGGAUUUUCAAAGCUUUUCAGAUUUUGGAAUUUCAUGCAAGAGAUUUUGGACAUAAUAUAUUUAAUCAGUCUCCUAUUGAUGAAUACUAAGAAUGUUUCAAAUAUUUUACAAUUACAAACGAUGUUGGACUGAAUAACCUAGUACAAACAUCAUUUCACAUUUGGGUACAAAUAUAUUUGUAAGAUAAAAUCCUGGAAAUGAAAUUGCUGGGUCAAAGGAUAUGUGCACUGUAAUUUUCAUAGAUAUGCCAAAUUGCCCUCCACAAAGGAUUACCAAUCUAUACUCCCACUCCACAUCUUUGCAAACACAAUGUUUUAUCAAAAUGUUUUCUUUUAUUUUGAAAUAAUUUCAGACUUACAGAAAUGUUUCAAGAAUAGUACAGAGAGAUCUUUUCUUACCCUGAAGCAUUCAAAAGUAAGUAUGUGACUUGAUAUCCCAUCACUCCUGAAUACUAUAGUCUACACUUUUGGCAAACAAGGUAACUCUUCUGCAUACCCACAAUACAACCAUCAAAAUAAGGAAAUCAUACUGAUAUAUUAAUACCAUCUACCACAGAUCCUAUUCAAGUUUCACCAAUUGUUCCAAUAAUGUACUUUAUAGCAAACAGAUUUUAUACAGGAUCAUAUGUUGUAUUUAAUUUGUCCUAUCUCUUUAGUCUUUGUCAUUUCAGAAAAAUUUCUCAGUCUUCCUUUGACAUUCAUGACCUUGACACUUUGCAGAUUAAACUAGUUAUUUUAUGGAUGUGUGGAUUGUUUCCAGUUGUUGGUUAUUAAAAACAAAGCUGCUUGCUAUGAACAUUCAUGUUGAAGAAUUUGUACAGAUAUAUAUUUUCCUUUCUUUUGGGUAAUACCUAGGAGUGCAAUGUCUGGAUCGUAUGUGUAAGUGUCCAUUUAACUUUUUAAGAAAUUAUAAAAUAGUUUCUCAAAGUGGUCUUGCCACUUAUGUUCCUGCAUGUAUUAUAUGAAAGCUCCACUUGCUCCACAGCCUUGCCAGUCCUUGCUAUAAUUUUUUUUUUAAUUUAGCCAUUUUCUUACUGUGAUUCUAUUGCAUUUCCCUAAGAACUAACAAUAUUGAACAUUUUUCCAUGUGCUUAUUUUCCAUCAGAAUAUCUUUUUUGGUGGAGUAUCUCUUCAUAUCUUCGCUCAUUUAAAAAAUGUGUUGUUCAUUUUCCUAUUAUUGAGUUUUGCGAAUUCUUUACAUAUUCUGGAUAUAAGUCCUUUAUGAGAUAUGUGAUUUGCAAAUAUUUCUCCCAGUCUGUGGCUUGUCUUUUCAGUCUCAACAGACACUUUAUAAAGCAGAACUUCUUAAUUUGGUAAGUACAAUUUAUCAAUUUUUUUCUUUUAUGGAUUGUACUUUUAAUGUUGUAUCUCCAAAAUCUUUGCUUAACAAAAAAUAAAAACAAUUUUUCCAAUGUUUUCUUCUAAAAGUUUUAUAGUUUUAGCUUUUACAUCUAGAUCCUUGAUCCAUCAUAAUAUAAUUUUUGUAUAUGUUGUAACAUUUGUUGAAAAGACCAUCCUUUUCCUUAAUGGAAUUGGCUUUGCCCUUUAUUGAAAUAAACUGACCACAUAUAUAUGAGUCUACUUUGGGACUAUUCUUUUUCAUUGAUUUGUUUGUCUGUCUUAACACCAAUAAUCCUAUAUUGAAUACUAUAGCUUUAUAAUAAGUCUUGAAAUCAAGUAGUGUUAGUCUUACCACUUUUAUUUUUCUCUUUUGCAAAGUUAUUUUUGGCUACUGUAGGUCCUCUGCAUUUUCAUACAAAUUUUAUAAUCAGAUAAUCAAUAUCUGUCCCAAAGGCUGUUGGGAUUUUGACUGCAAUUGCACUGAAUCUAUACAUCAAUUUGUAGUAAAUCAACAUUUAACAAUAUUGAGUCUUCUAAUCCAUAAGUGCAGUAUGUCUUUCCAUUUAUUUAGGUCUUCUUUCAUUUCUCUCAGCAGUAUUUUAUGA